rnacentral:rRNA from 2 species
GAAGAUAAAGUGGAUUAGCGGCGGACGGGUGAGUAACACGUGAGUAACCUGCCUUAGACAUUGGGAUAGCCUCGGGAAACCGGGAUUAAUACCAAAUAAAAUCAUAAUGACACAUGUCAUAACGAUCAAAACUCCGGUGGUCUAAGAUGGACUCGCGUCCCAUUAGCUAGUUGGUAGAGUAAAAGCCUACCAAGGCGACGAUGGGUAGCCGGCCUGAGAGGGUGAACGGCCACAUUGGAACUGAGAAACGGUCCAAACUCCUACGGGAGGCAGCAGUGGGGAAUAUUGCACAAUGGAGGGAACUCUGAUGCAGCGACGCCGCGUGAACGAAGAAGGCUUUCGAGUCGUAAAGUUCUUUUAUAUGGGAAGAUAAUGACGGUACCAUAAGAAAAAGCCCCGGCUAACUACGUGCCAGCAGCCGCGGUAAUACGUAGGGGGCUAGCGUUGUCCGGAAUCACUGGGCGUAAAGGGUUCGCAGGCGGAAGUGCAAGUCAGAUGUAAAAGGCAGUAGCUUAAUUACUGUAAGCAUUUGAAACUGCAUAUCUUGAGAAGAGUAGAGGUAAGUGGAAUUUUUAGUGUAGCGGUGAAAUGCGUAGAUAUUAAAAAGAAUAUC